AGAUGGAUCAUUUCGAUGAAAACCUUUUUUUCUUGAGGUGUGGCUCGCACCUGUCUAACUAAACUUGAGCUACCUUUUUUCAACACGGUUGCAUCGGUUGGCCUGUCAAACAGUGCGGCGGCGUGAAUUUUCACGUCUGCUUUGGCUGGGCGACGGACCGACACUUAAUCAACACUUUUGAUGAUCUAGGAUUUGAAUGAUAAAAGUUCAUUUUUACAAUGAAAUCGACUGGUAAUGCGGUCGUCUAAUUUUUAAAAACAACUUUUGGCAACGGAUCUCUUGGUUCUCCCAUCGAUGAAGAACGCAGCGAAUUGCGAUAAGUAAUGUGAAUUGCAGAAGUGAAUCAUCGAAUCUUUGAACGCACCUUGCGCUCCCGGCAGAUCUAAUCUGGGGAGCAUGCCUGUUUGAGGGCCGCGAAUUGUUUCGAACGACAACUUUUUUUCUUUUUUUUUUGAAGAGUUGGCGGAUCGGUAUUGAGGGUUUUGCCAUUCACCGUGGCUCCCUCGAAAUGCAUUAGCGCAUCCAUUUGAUAGGCAAGACGGACGAAAGCUCGAUUUUCGCUCUCUCUUCCCUGCCGGGUUUUGAUAAUAUCAGGACUUCGGAGAGGUUGAGAUGGGUAAGAGCUGGACGCAACGGCUUGCUGUUUGGAGUGCUUCUGAAACCCGCCCAUAUCGAGCUUUGCCUCGGAAGGGAUUUAAUAAUUCAUCGGCCUCAGAUUGGUAGGACUACCCGCUGAACUUAAGCAUAUCAAUAAGCGGAGGAAAAGAAACUAACAAGGAUUCCCCUAGUAACGGCGAGUGAAGAGGGAAGAGCCCAAGAUUGAAAGCUGGCGUCUUCGGCGUCCGCAUUGUAAUCUCAAGAAGUGUUUUCCGCUUCGGACCAUGCCUAAGUCCCUUGGAAAAGGGCAUCAUAGAGGGUGAUAAUCCCGUACAUGGCAUGGAGCGCCCGAAGCUUUGUGAUACGCUUUCUAAGAGUCGAGUUGUUUGGGAAUGCAGCUCAAAAUGGGUGGUAAAUGCCAUCUAAGGCUAAAUAUUGGGGAGAGACCGAUAGCGAACAAGUACAGUGAUGGAAAGAUGAAAAGAACUUUGAAAAGAGAGUUAAACAGUACGUGAAAUUGCCAAAAGGGAAGGGUAGGAGGUCAGAGAUGCGUUCUGGGAUUCAGCCUUGCUUUUGCUUGGUGUUUUUCCCAGAUUGCAGGCCAACGUCGGUUUUGGGCGCUGGAGAAGGGUGGAAGGAACGUGGCACCCCUCGGGGUGUGUUAUAGCUUUCUACUGGAUACAGUGACCGAGACCGAGGACAGCAGCGUACUCGCAAGAGCGGGCCUUCGGGCACCUUUACGCUUAGGGCGUUGGCAUAAUGGCCCUCUACCACCCGUCUUGAAACACGGACCAAGGAGUCUAACAUGUAUGCGAGUCUUUGGGUGGCAAACCCAUAGGCGCAAUGAAAGUGAAUUCAGGUGGGAUCCGCAAGGUGCACCAUCGACCGAUCCUCACGUCUUUUAAGUCGUGGAUUUGAGUAAGAGCAUACCUGUUGGGACCCGAAAGAUGGUGAACUAUGCCUGAAUAGGGUGAAGCCAGAGGAAACUCUGGUGGAGGCUCGUAGCGGUUCUGACGUGCAAAUCGAUCGUCAAAUUUGGGUAUAGGGGCGAAAGACUAAUCGAACCAUUAGAUUUACUAGGUGGUUAAGAGGCGGCUAAAAGUGCACGUCUAGUAAGCGCUGAAGAUUGCGACACUAUCAAAUUGCGGGGACACCCUAAAGCUUUCAAUACCAAGCCGGCGUGGAAACACAGUCGGUGGCCGAGUUAAUGACCCUGGGUAUGGUAAAAACUUGAAAGAUGCUACAAUGGGCAAUCCGCAGCCAAGCUCUAAGGGUUUUUUCGAAAAGAGAAAAUCUAUGAGUGCAGUUCACAGACUAAAUGGUAGUGGGUUCAUCGAUGUGGGAUAAAAGUCGAUGGGCUUAAGAUAUAGUCGGACCUCCUACGAAAGUGGGCCGGGGGAAGAAAGUCAGAGAUCCUUCAGCAAUAGAUCUCUUUCCGGAGCCUCUGGGAGUUGUCAAUUAUUAUUAUUUUUGACAACUUUGGAUAAAUAGCUAGUAGCUGGUUCCUGC
rnacentral:misc_RNA from 1 species